rnacentral:tRNA from 1 species
CCUCUGGUGGCCUAGUGGUUAAGGAUCCAGCAUUGUCACUGCUGUGGCAUAGGUUCGAUUCCUGGCCUGGGAA